GGGAACCUCUGAUUAGUGUGUGGAGGGUGAGAAGCAAGGGAAGCGCUGGAACUUGAAGCCCAGCCAAGAGCAUAAAACCCACAGGGCUUGUGGCUAUUGCAGGUAAUAACAAAGGGACAGUGUCCAUAGGAGGGUAAGAGAGACGGUUCAGGGAAGGGCAAGUCAAGCAGGCAGAAGGCUGAGGAGUCAGAUGGUCUGUGCUGCAGGUUUCAGCCAUGGCUUAGGGAAGGCACAGUGGCUGAGCAAUGGAUCUGCAGUGAGAGGUGCCCACAGGGGUGUCUCAGUCCCCGCUGCGCAGGACCGUGCACAGGAACGAUGGCCGGGGCAAAUGGAAGCUCUGGAGAGCCGUGAGUGCCUGUUGAGAAAUGGCAAAACUAAGACUGGCAGUUGGACUGAAGUUGAAAGCUCAGCUUCUCUGGGAAUAGCUCCAAGACCACCGACCGCCAGGUGUGCAGAGCCCAUCUCUACCAUCUCCAGGACAAGGUGGAGUCCCGUGGUCAUGGCUGGACUUGGACAAGGGUGCUUCAGAUGGAAAUAUUCAGAUGCAGAACCAGCAAUUCCACCUCCCUGGGAGAAGACACUGAGGAACUGCCAUCAACUUGCAUGUGUUUGCAGUGUGUCUUCCAGGAUACCCACAGCUUGA
rnacentral:lncRNA from 1 species